rnacentral:rRNA from 1 species
AUGCUGCCGCCGCCUCCACCCUCGUUACCUGUGGGCUUCAAGCCGGUUGUCGUCCCGCCGCCAUCCCUAUCGUCUUCCCGGUCAGAUUUGGAUCAGGACCUCCUGCUUCCGCCGCCGCCGUCGACGACGCUGGACCUGCCCACCCAGCUUCGUCCCAUGCCCAUGGCGGUGCUGGUGAUGCCUCCGUGCGAGCUCGUAGCGCCCGCGUCACCGAAGCCCACCGCUACCGGCAACUGCCCAGCUCGGGCGCCGGCCACCGCGACACCGACGCCACCCAUGCCCGCGGCUGGUGGCUGCCCCGCUCCGUCGACGACGGCUGCUGCUGUCGACAUCCUUGUCCCCAUGGCGGCCCCGUCCCUCCUCCUGCCGGCCGCGCCCGGGAGCUCGCGUCCAUCACCACCGAGCUCGCUCCCCUCCGAGCUAGCGCCCGUGGUCCCUCCCGCUCCAUCGUUCGCUGCCGCCGCACUAGCCAUAGCUGCACUUGCUUGCCGCAGAUCGGACCCGGCCAUCGGAGGGCAGAAGCCUCGUUCCCAGGAGGGCCUGGAUACCUUUGCUUCGCCGCCUGCUGGACGCCCUUGCCUGCCCGACGGCCAACCUCUUGCACUCGCUGCUCCUGGUUGUGGGGAUUGGCGUGGAUGCUUCCAUCGUGAUGAGGCGACUGAUGUUCUCGAGUGUGAGCAAGGGGGAUGGCAGACUGUCUCGAAGGGGCGCCGCUCGCCGCCUCCUGCAGCUUUUCGUCGCCCUUCCAUCAAUGUGAGGCAUUCCCCUCCGGCGUGGCUGAGAGACAGGUGUUUCCGGUGUCUCUGUCGAGGUCAUCGUGCACACUCCUGCAGGGAUCCAAUCCGAUGCACUGACUGCCUUUGA